rnacentral:lncRNA from 1 species
UUUCAUGUUAACGAGGUUGUUAGAUGUGUCAGGAGGUGGUUCUCCUAUAAAUAGAGCCUCCUAUUGCUUGUAAUCGAAACCAUUUGACUUUAUUUUCGAGAUGUCGUCUUUUCGAUUGUCGGAGUACCAUCAUUGUUUGUUCAUGCUAAGUGUAGCCCCCUUGAGUCCCUGCAUUUAUCCAGAAGUUCGCCUCAAGGUAGCACACUAGAGGCGAGCGCAUCGAGCGGUGCCUUACAUUGGCUUGGGAGAUACUGAAAAUUUCUGC